rnacentral:rRNA from 1 species
GUCAUAGUGAUCCGGUGGUUCUGAAUGGAAGGGCCAUCGCUCAACGGAUAAAAGGUACUCCGGGGAUAACAGGCUGAUACCGCCCAAGAGUUCAUAUCGACGGCGGUGUUUGGCACCUCGAUGUCGGCUCAUCACAUCCUGGGGCUGAAGUAGGUCCCAAGGGUAUGGCUGUUCGCCAUUUAAAGUGGUACGCGAGCUGGGUUUAGAACGUCGUGAGACAGUUCGGUCCCUAUCUGCCGUGGGCGCUGGAGAACUGAGGGGGGCUGCUCCUAGUACGAGAGGACCGGAGUGGACGCAUCACUGGUGUUCGGGUUGUCAUGCCAAUGGCACUGCCCGGUAGCUAAAUGCGGAAGAGAUAAGUGCUGAAAGCAUCUAAGCACGAAACUUGCCCCGAGAUGA